rnacentral:tRNA from 1 species
UAGACUUUAGCUUAUACAGAGCGAUUAGCUGUUAACUAAUUGGAGUAGAAUUUCCUACAAGUUUAG